rnacentral:rRNA from 1 species
UACAGAGGGGGCAAGCGUUAUUCGGAAUUAUUGGGCGUAAAGGGCGCGUAGGCGGCCUGGCAAGUGGAAGGUGAAAUCCCUCGGCUUAACCGAGGAACUGCCCUCCAAACUGCUUGGCUUGAGUCCGGGAGAGGUGAGUGGAAUUCCCAGUGUAGCGGUGAAAUGCGUAGAUAUUGGGAGGAACACCAGUGGCGAAGGCAGGUCUCUGGGCCACUACUGACGCUGAGAAGCGAAAGCAUGGGGAGCGAACAGG